UGGGGAAUGGUGUAACGGCAGCACGAGUGGCUCUGGACCACUUAGUCUAGGUUCGAAUCCUAGUUCCCCAG
rnacentral:tRNA from 1 species